AUUGAACGCUGGCGGCAGGCCUAACACAUGCAAGUCGAACGAGUGGCGGACGGGUGAGUAAUGUCUGGGAAACUGCCCGAUGGAGGGGGAUAACUACUGGAAACGGUAGCUAAUACCGCAUACCAUCGGAUGUGCCCAGAUGGGAUUAGCUAGUAGGUGGGGUAACGGAUCACCUAGGCGACGAUCCCUAGCUGGUCUGAGAGGAUGACGAAGGAUGUGAGGGAACGGCACACCCAGUCGACGCUCAAUAGCUGGUCAGAGAGGUGGAACAGCCACACUGGACCUUCGCACGGUCGAGUCCCCUACGGCGCAAGCCUGAUGAAGCCAUGCAGCGUGUAUGAAUAAGGCCUACGGGUUGUAAAGUACUUUCAGCGAGGAGGAAGGCGGUGUGUAAUAACCGCAACGAUUGACGUUACUCGCAGAAGAAGCACGGCUAACUCCGUGCCAGCAGCAGCGGUAAUAC
rnacentral:rRNA from 1 species